CAAAACAAGGGCGGCAGUCGCGUUUCCCAAAUGAGUGAGUUAACUUCGGGAGGUUAAUCUAUGAGUUAAACUUCGAGCCACAUUUACUGUAGCCUACAUUAGACAACAAUGUGUUCAGUUGAGUCUUUGAGAGAGUUUGUCAACGAGCGACUAACUGCUGCUGCUGAAGAAAUAUUGGGAGCUUUUCAAAGAAGCAUCGUCGAGUACGAGGAAGAGAUCGAUCGUCAGCGCAGACUGUUGGAUAUGGUUUUGAAGCCUGAAAUCAAGUUACACAGGACAGAGCUCCCACAGCAACAUGUGUGUAAGGAGGAGGAGGUUGUCCCUGAGCAGCAGCUCUGUAUUGAGGAGAGGAAGUCCAGUGUGGAGCAAGAGGAGCCAGAGGCUCCAGAGAUUAAAGAGGAAGAGGAGGAAGUGUGCAGCAGUCAGGAGGGAGAGCAGCUUGUAGUGAAGCAGGAGACUGAUGGCUUUAUGUUGACUCCUGCUGAUGAGGAAAGUGAGCAGAGUGAAGAUCAGACUCUGGACUUCAUUCAUGAUGACACUCAAAGUGCAGCAGAGAAAGAGUCUGUAUUUAAAAUUCCAGUUAUAAGCUCUGUGAUAUCAGAAGCAACCAGUGAGCACCAGCUGCUCUGUCACAACUCUCAUGUAGCUGAGAGGCAAGAUGAGGAAGAAUACCAGCAUGGAGACUCAGGAUCAACUAGAAACACAGAGCUUCAAGCAGAGAAAAGACAUCAUGAAAGUGAAAUGAACAGUAACAGUCCACACACCUCUGCUGUGAUAAACUUAAAUACAGGUAAAAAGCCUUUAAAAUGUGACAUAUGUGGGAAAGUUUUUGAGUACAAGUCAACAUUGCAGAAACACCUGAGAAUCCACACAGGUGAGAAGCCGUACCUUUGCAAGACUUGCGGGAAAAGAUUCAGAGAAAAAUAUCUUGUGAAAAGACAUUUAAGAACUCACACAGGUGAGAAGCCACAUACUUGCAAAAUAUGUGGGAGAGGUUUCAGACGUAAUGGAGACUUGUUAGUCCACAUGAGGACUCAUUCAGGUGAGAAGCCGUAUACUUGCAAAACAUGUGGGAGACACUUCAGAUCUAGCAGUAACUUGGCAGUCCACAUGAAAAUCCACACAGGUGAGAAGCCGUACCUUUGCAAGACUUGCGGGAAAAGGUUCAGUGAAAACUAUCGUAUGGAAAGACAUUUAAAAAUCCACACAAGUGAGAAGCCAUUUAUAUGCAAAACAUGUGGGAGAGCUUUUAGAUGGAAAAGUUACCUGGCUAUCCACAUGAGAAUCCACACAGGUGAGAUGCCGCAUGUUUGUAAGACCUGCGGGAUAAAAUACAAUAACAUAUCAGCAUUGAAAAAACAUGUUAAAAUCCAUGCAGAUGAGAACCAGCUUUUCUGAAAUAUGUGGGAAACACUUCAGAUCUAUCAGUAACUUGACAAUCCACAUGAGAACACACACAGGUGUAAAGGUGCAUGACUUGAGCACAGAGGUUCCAGUUGAAGUCACACAUAUACAGGAGAGAGACUGUUUACAUGCAAAACAUGUGGCAGAGCUUUCAGAGGCCUGUUCCAUAAAGCAUGCUCAGAAAAGUGGGGAGUGAAGUCUAAAUCCUGAAUUUUAAUUGAAAUUGCAGGUCUGGAAAAGUUAAACUAGUGAGAUAAAGAACAAAAGGAGGAGACUGCUUUAAAGUCUGGAUGAAUUUUAUACUUGCAAGAGUCAUGGAAAACCUGGAAAAGUCAUGAAAUUAGUCAAAAUCAUUUUAAGUCACAGAACUUGUUUGUGUAUAGUGAAAUUAUUAGAAUCAUCUUCAGUGGAUAACCCUCCAUAUAAUGUAACAUAAUGGCAAAUUCAUUUUCUGCAGCUGGCGUCUUAAUGUAGCUUUAAUAUACGUCGAUGUGUCACAAUGUUUGUUUACCAUCAGAUGUGCUUUGUCAUGUUCUCCCUCAGUUUGUCUCUCCCUUCCUGUGUGCCAAUUAUGUUUACAUAGAGUUUGAAUCUGAUGUUUGAAAAACGGCGGGCAAGUGGGGAAAGAAAAAGAAAAUUCUUCAUGAUGAGUCCUUGAAAAGUCAUGAAAAAGUUUGGAAAUAUUGUCCAUGAAAAUGUGAGCGGAACCUGUAAUUAAAAGUAUGAGUGAUUUUGCAGUGAGCACAGUAAUAAACUGAUCUCAGAAGA